GCGGGGAUAGCUCAGCUGGGAGAGCGUCAGACUGAAGUACUCAGUCACAAAAUCUGAAGGUCGGGUGUUCGAUCCACCCUCACCGCA